UACGAAGGGGGCUAGCGUUGCUCGGAAUCACUGGGCGUAAAGCGCACGUAGGCGGAUUGCUAAGUCAGGGGUGAAAUCCUGGAGCUCAACUCCAGAACUGCCUUUGAUACUGGCGAUCUCGAGUCCGGGAGAGGUGAGUGGAACUGCGAGUGUAGAGGUGAAAUUCGAUAGAUAUUCGCAAGAACACCAGUGGCGAAGGCGGCUCACUGGCCCGGUACUGACGCUGAGGUGCGAAAGCGUGGGGAGCAAACAGG
rnacentral:rRNA from 1 species